UAUGGAGAUUUGGAACGGCCGCGG
rnacentral:siRNA from 1 species